UACGUAGGGUGCAGGCGUUAAUCGGAAUUACUGGGCGUAAAGCGUGCGCAGGCGGUCUGCUAAGUGAGAUGUGAAAUCCCCGGGCUCAACCUGGAACUGCGUUUCUAACUGGCAGGCUUGAGUGUGGCAGAGGGGGGUGGAAUUCCACGUGUAGCAGUGAAAUGCGUAGAGAUGUGGAGGAACACCGAUGGCGAAGGCAGCCCCCUGGGCUGACACUGACGCUCAUGCACGAAAGCGUGGGGAGCAAACAGG
rnacentral:rRNA from 1 species